UUUCCGGUCUUCUUGAUCUAAAUGAGGGCUUGGCGAGCCACUGUUAGCGAAGCUCUCAACACCACCAUGCAGUUUUCAUCUAUUUUUAUACAUUUUUGGCUCAGCGUGCAGACUACUACAGAUGACCCACCGUGAAGAGGCAGCUUUGGAUAACUUGGAUUGAGGCUCGUGUUCCUGCAAACAUCAUCAUAAUGAAGGGUUUGGGGUCCCAACGUCCCACAUUGCAUUGACUACAUGUAGGAGGAAGAAGAAAAGAGAAAAGAUGUAACAGCAGCAGAGCAAGACGAAGAAGUCACAUAGAGCCGGAGGUGAAAUGAACCAGAUGAAAUCGGCAUGUAAACGGCAAAAACCUGAGCUGAUCAAGAAGUCGUGACGUCACAGAGGAUAUAAAAUGCAGUAGAUUUGCUUUUGUGUAAAUAAGAAAAAAAAGCAUGCUUGAACUAAAACAUGUUUAAUGAAACUAAGAAGUUGCUGUAUAAAAUUGAAGCAUAAUGGCACAUUCAAGUAUUCAGCAUAUUAAAAGCAACAUGUAUCCUAUUGAGAGUGACUGGCACACAUUGGUCAAUCUGUGCUGAAAGCCGAUCUGUAGGAUUUCUUCUUUAAAUUUUCUAGAAAGAUCUGCUCUUCUUGGAGGUAUUCACGGUCCUGUGGGCAGAAAACAUCUUAUUUAUCUGGGAUAGAAAUUUGAAACACUGAAAAUAUUUGAAAACAAUUGUUUCUAAAAUGUUCUCAGAUGCACCUGCUGACGUAGCUUUAAAUGUAUUUAAAAGCUGACGUUUGUGUUUUGACUCUAUUUGUAAUAAAUGCCUGUGCAGUAACAAA